AGAGUUUGAUCAUGGCUCAGAACGAACGCUGGCGGCAGGCCUAACACAUGCAAGUCGAGCGCCCAGCAAUGGGAGCGGCGGACGGGUGAGUAACACGUGGGAAUUUUCCUCAAGGUACGGAACAACUCAGGGAAACUUGGGCUAAUACCGUAUGAUGCAGAGAUGCCAAAGAUUUAUCGCCUUGGGAUAAGCCCGCGUCAGAUUAGGUAGUUGGUAGGGUAAUGGCCUACCAAGCCUGUGAUCUGUAGCUGGUCUGAGAGGACGAUCAGCCACAUUGGGACUGAGACACGGCCCAAACUCCUACGGGAGGCAGCAGUGGGGAAUCUUGCGCAAUGGGCGAAAGCCUGACGCAGCCAUGCCGCGUGAAUGAUGAAGGUCUUAGGAUUGUAAAGUUCUUUCGCCCGUGACGAUGAUGACGGUAACGGGAGAAGAAGCCCCGGCUAACUUCGUGCCAGCAGCCGCGGUAAUACGAAGGGGGCUAGCGUUGUUCGGAAUUACUGGGCGUAAAGCGCGCGUAGGCGGUUUUGCAAGCCAGAGGUGAAAUGCCCGAGCUCAACUUGGGAAUUGCCUUUGGGACUGUGAGGCUUUGAGGACGAGAGAGGUGAGUGGAAUUCCCAGUGUAGAGGUGAAAUUCGUAGAUAUUGGGAAGAACACCGGUGGCGAAGGCGGCUCACUGGCUCGUUUCUGACGCUAAAGCGCGAAAGCGUGGGGAUCAAACAGGAUUAGAUACCCUGGUAGUCCACGCUGUAAACGAUGAGUGCUAGGCGUCGGCAGGCUUGCCUGUCGGUGCCGCAGCUAAC
rnacentral:rRNA from 1 species